rnacentral:tRNA from 3 species
GCGCCCGUACUCCAGCGGUAGAGAGGAGCGGUUUAGGUCCGCUUUGUCGUGGGUUCGAAUCCCUCCGGGCGUA